rnacentral:misc_RNA from 1 species
GAUGAAACGUAGCGAAAUGCGAUAAGUAGUGUGAAUUGCGGAAUUCAGUGAAUCAUCGAAUCUUUGAACGCACAUUGCGCCCACUGGUAUUCCGGUGGGCAUGCCUGUUCGAGCGUCAUUAUCCUCCCUCAAACCCCGGGUUUGGUGUUGGACCGAAGUUGUGUGAACAACUGGUCUAAAAAACAAUGACGGCGUCCGUGGGACCCUCGGUGCAACGAGCUUUUAGGAGCACGCGCCGAGUUGCAAGGACCUUCCGGGCCGGUCUCCUUUUACUAUUUUACAAGGUUGACCUCGGAUCAGGUAGGAAUACCCGCUGAACUUAAGCAUAUCAAUAAGCGGAGGA